rnacentral:rRNA from 1 species
UACGUAGGGUCCGAGCGUUGUCCGGAAUUACUGGGCGUAAAGAGCUCGUAGGUGGUUUGUCGCGUUGUUCGUGAAAACUCACAACUCAAUUGUGGGCGUGCGGGCGAUACGGGCAGACUUGAGUACUGCAGGGGAGACUGGAAUUCCUGGUGUAGCGGUGGAAUGCGCAGAUAUCAGGAGGAACACCAAUGGCGAAGGCAGGUCUCUGGGCAUUAACUGACGCUGAGGAGCGAAAGCAUGGGGAGCGAACAGG